UCUGUGUUUUGUGUUUCAUUCCCUCUUUCUUUUCUUGUUCUGUAUUUUUUUGCUGUGUUCUCUGUUGGUACGUGAUAUAUGGUCCUUCUUUCCUUCCUUUUUCACAAGCCUUCAUUCUUCCUUUAUGUCCAAGAUGCAUUUCCUACCUCACCUUUUUUUCAUCCCCUCUUCUUACUUUUUUAUUUCUUUAUCUUGUUUUGUGUUCCCUAAUGAAACGUUAUGAUCCUUCCUUCCUUUCUUAUCUUUUUACAAGUCUUCAUUCUUCCUUUAUGUCCAGAUGGAUUUCCUACCUCACCUCUGUUUUGUUUUUCAUCCCCUCUUGUCUUUUUUUUAUGUUUAUCCUGUUUUGUGUUCUCUAAUGAAACCUUAUGGCCCCUCCUUCCUUUCUUUUUUACAAGUUUUCAUUCUUUCUUUAUAUCCAAGAUGCAUUUCCUACCUCCCCUUUUUUUCAUCCCCUCUUCUUACUUUUUUAUUUCUUUAUCUUGUUUUGUGUUCCCUAAUGAAACGUUAUGAUCCUUCCUUCCUGCUAUGCCCCACAAGACGGAGGAAAGUUAAAGGGAUAGUGAAAAGGAUGAUAACUAAAAACAGGUGUGCGUGUACUGCCCAGGUGCUUAAUUAGUGCGUGAGGGAAGAACAGGUGUGGGCAGGUACGGAAUGUAGGGGGUGGAUGGGGGGUGAGGAGCUAAAAGGAAUAGGUCGAUAUGGUUUUAAAUUAAUUGAGAAAGAAAAAAAAAGAUGAUAAUGCAGAGUUAGGUGAAGAAGGUGUGGCUGUAAAUGGGGGCGGGUGCUUCAAAAUAAUAGGAAAAAAAAAGUUGAAUAAAGAUGCCAAAAGAUGAAUUAAAUACCCGGUAGGAAAGAAUGUGUGUGGGUGUGUAUGUAUGAAUGUAUGCAUGUAUAUGGUGUGAAGAGAAAGGUGAGGUAUUGAAGGGAUUACAGAAGAAAGAAGAGCAGUUGAGAAGGUGUAUAAGGGAAGGGACAGGUUAAUUAAUGAAGGGGAAGGAGAGAGGUGUGGAGAUAAAGGUGAGGUAUUGAAGGGAUUACAGAAGAAAGAAGAGCAGUUGAGAAGGUGCAUUAGGGAAGGGACAGGUUAAUUAAUGAAGGGGGAGGAGAGAGGUGUGGAAAUAAAGGUAAGGUACUGAAGGGAUUAAACGUGGAGAAAGAGAUAUCAGUUGAGAAGGUGCAUUAGGGAAGGGACAGGUUAAUUAAUGAAGGGGGAGGAGAGAGGUGUGAAGAGUAGGCAGGCGUUAACUUCAGGUGUAGAGGAGAAAGGAAAGACUUAAGGGAUUAGUAAAGAAUGGAGAAGGUAAGGAUGGACAGGUGUUUGAUUAGUGAGUAAAAGGAAAAUUAAAGGAUUAGACAUGUAAGGUAAAAGUAAGGGUAGUCAGGUAAAGCAUAAGGGAUUAGGAAGGUAAGGGAAAGGUAAAAAUGGACAGGUAUUUAAUUAGUGAGUGUUGAAAGGAAAAGUAAGGGAUUAGGAAGGUAAGGGAAAGGUAAAGAUGGGCAGGUGUUUAAUUAGUGAGUGUUGAAAGGAAAAGUAAGGGAUUAGGAAGGGAAGGGAAAGGUAAAAAUGGACAGGCAUCUAAUUAGUGAGCGGUAGAAGGGAAAGGAAGGAAUUAGGAAAGGGAACCAGGAAGUGUGCAAGGAAAAGAGAGGGGAGAAGACAAUACCGAAAAAAAGUAGGAAAGAAAAGAAGGAAGGCAACAGUAACAGCAAUAGAAAUAACAAUAAUAACUAAGUCGUGUGAAAAUGUUUAAUAUGUGUAUAGAAGAGUAAGGAAAAAUAACGAAUAAGGGAUUAGGAAAAGAAGGAGAGAUGUGGAAGGAAAAAGGAGAGGAGAAGACAGAUGUAAGGCGUAGGAAAGGUGAUUGAUAUAUGCGUAGAGGAGAAAGGAAAAAUAAAGUAUAAGGAAUUAGGAAAGGAAGGAUUAGGUGCAGAAAGGAAAAAGAGAGAGAAGACAGGCGUAAGGCGUAGGAAGGUGAUUGAUAUAUGCGUAGAGGAGAAAGGAAAAAUAAAGUAUAAGGGAUUAGGAAAGGAAGGAAAGGUGUGGAGGGAAAAAGGAGAGGAGAAAAUAGGCGUAAGGCGUAGGAAGGUGACUGAUAUAUGCGUAGAGGAGAAAGGAAAAAUAACAAAGGAUUAGGAAAGGAAGGAGUGGGAGAGGAGAAGACAGAUGUAAGGCGUAGGAAGGUGAUUGAUAUAUGCGUAGAGGAGAAAGGAAAAAUAACAAAGGAUUAGUAAAGGAAGGAAAGGAGAAGAGAAGACAGGCGUAAGGCGUAGGAAGGUGAUUGAUAUAUGCGUAGAGGAGAAAGGAAAAAUAACAAAGGAUUAGGAAAGAAAGGAGAAGGAGAGGAGAAGACAGAUGUAAGGCGUAGGAAAGGUGAUUGAUAUAUGCGUAGAGGAGAAAGGAAAAAUAACAAAGGAUUAGGAAAGGAAGGAAAGGAGAGGAGAAGACAGAUGUAAGGCGUAGGAAAGGUGAUUGAUAUAUGCGUAGAGGAGAAAGGAAAAAUAACAAAGGAUUAGGAAAGGAAGGAGUGGGAGAGGAGAAGACAGAUGUAAGGCGUAGGAAGGUGAUUGAUAUAUGCGUAGAGGAGAGAGGAAAAAUAACAAAGGAUUAGUAAAGGAAGGAAAGGAGAGGAGAAGACAGAUGUAAGGCGUAGGAAAGGUGAUUGAUAUAUGCGUAGAGGAGAAAGGAAAAAUAACAAAGGAUUAGGAAAGGAAGGAAAGGAGAGGAGAAGACAGGCGUAAGGCGUAGGAAGGUGAUUGAUAUAUGCGUAGAAGAGAAAGGAAAAAUAACAAAGGAUUAGGAAAGGAAGGAAAGGAGAGGAGAAGACAGAUGUAAGGCGUAGGAAGGUGAUUGAUAUAUGCGUAGAGGAGAAAGGAAAAAUAACAAAGGAUUAGUAAAGGAAGGAAAGGAGAGGAGAAGACAGGCGUAAGGCGUGAGAAGGUGAUUGAUAUAUGCGUAGAGGAGAAAGGAAAAGUGACGUAUAAGGGAUUUGGAAAGGAAGGAAAGGAGAGGAGAAGACAGAUGUAAGGCGUAGGAAGGUGAUUGAUAUAUGCGUAGAGGAGAAAGGAAAAGUGACUUA